ensembl:lincRNA
AGGUCUGUCCCUGUCCACAGCCCACUUCCGACUGCGGGAAUCAGAACUCACUGGUUCAGUCUGUACUGAUCCUGGGACUACAGAGUACCCUCACUAGAAGGUUGUGUGUGUGAAAUUCUGAACCAGAGUCCAAAGCCUGUGAGAGAUGAGGUAGCUUGCAGAUCCUUCCAGAAAUGCCAUCUUUCCAGGUUACUGACAUCUUCAUAUCCAGAAACAAGCAUAAGAUAAGCCAGGAAAAUUAUCACCAAAUUACCAUUCCUUGAGUCCUUAGCCAUCUCCAUCCUCCACUAUCUUGGUGCCACUAAAUUGUCCAUUUGCACUAAACUGCCUACUUGGUGACCAUAUGGACUGUGCUUCAUUUGAUACUGAAUCUUCGGGGCCUGCAGUAAUGUCUGGCAGACGACUGACACUCCGUGAAUGCAUUUGGAAAAGCACACAUGCAUGCUUACCUAAUUAAAGUCUUCACGAGCAUGAUGGUAACUUUCAUAGGAAAGUUCCCACUCGGUUUAUCAUUUGAGACCAUGUAGCCAGGAUUGUUAACCUCUGGAAAUGAAGUUCUCACAGAUAUUCCUUCAGCAAGAUAAUCACGUAUCUUAGGUAACUUCUUACAGGCCUGCACGUCCACCCAUCAGAAAUUAGAUCCAUCCCACUAAGAUGGUCUGAGGAUGGAUCCUAGCUUUAUCACAUCUUGGCUUCCACAACCUUUUCUCUAACUACCUUAGACUACCAUCCACAGUAUGCAGGUAGUGAUAUAGACUGCCCUGUGUUAUUUCUUCCUAAGCAUGUCAUUGCUGUCAGGAUUUCCACAUCUACAUAUGCCAAGGGAAUAGGGACAGGAUUUUACCUUUAUUAUAUGUCAUAAUGAUUUUCAUAUACUAGACCUUCAGUGGACACUUUUUUGGGGGGGGAGAAAAAGAAAAUUUAAAUAAAGAGUGUUGGGAAGGACAUUCUUAAAUCAUAAAUUAAGAUGCUAGAGAGAUGGCUGAGUGGUUAGGAGCACUGGCUGCUCUUCUAGAGGAGCCGUGUUGAUUUCCAACCCCCCACUUAGUAACUAACAACCAUUCAAACUCCUGUCCCAAGGAAUCUGACAAACUCUUCGGGCCUCUGUAGACCCCAGGCAUGUAUGUAGUGUGCAUAAAUACAUUUAAACAAAAUAAUUAUAUACAUAAACUUAAAGUAUUUUUUAAUAAGAAGAUGGCUGGCAUCUCCUCCCAGGUCAUACCGACUCAGCAUUGUUCUUUACUUUUGCAGAGGCAAACUGGGAACAAAGCAGACCCAUUACAGACACUCGAGAACAUACUUGAGUUGCGUGGUGAUAAUGAGUUAUGUGCGUUUAUUAUAAUUGUUUGCCUAUGCAUUUAUCAGAAGCAGCUCAAAUUCUCAGGCUCACAGGUAGCAGGCUAGGCAAGUGGUUUCAAGAGCUCAAAAGCAAGUCACUGGCUUCUGACUACUUCAGCCUGUGUAAGGCUCAUCUGUUGGCAUCUGCCCUCUGAGUUACGCCAGCCUGGGGCACCCGGGCUGACGGUGGUGUUACAAUCAGUAAUUUAAAAAGAAAUAUAUAUCUACCCAUGCAGACUCAGUUUUUUCACAGAUUAAUUUCUCCAUUAAUAUCUUAAAUAUAAGUAUUUUGGAAGAAAAUAUAAUAGCACGGGUUCUGUUUGUGGAGUCUUUUCUGAAGAAAAAAAUAAAAUAAACACAGUCAAGGUCAUUG